AUCUCAUUAAAAUCCCCUGUGACAAUCUAAGGGCUAUGAGUUCUAUUGGCAAUGUUUAACAGUUUCGUCCACAGGGAUCUUUUGUUUUGGGGUUGGGGGCUGGCGUACACAUCUGUCAUAAACCAAUCCUCUUUUUCAGGGGAUCUUUCUUAAGGUGCGCUUGAAUCCUGAGCUUGCCGCACCUUUUACAUUCCAAGCCGGAAUAAUCAUUAAGAAACUGGCAGGAUGAUUAAUUCAGCUGCGUAUCAACAGCUUCAGAUUGCCUCAGCUUGUUACUGGUAGGUCUGGUGGUUUAUCCUCCUUAAUUUGAGGGGGAUUUUGGUGUUGCUCGUUAUUCAUGUCUUCCUGUUCAUGGUACUAAUCUAAUGUUGGGGUGGCGUCAUCUUUGCCGGUGCAGUUUUCUCUAUGAUUACUUCUAAUAUUGCUCACUUUUUCUCUGUUGGUAUGUUGUUUCUCCCUAUUUUCUUUUGGUUGGGGGCUAAGCCUCCGCUACUGUUGUGUUGCCUUCUUGGUUUUGCUUGUUGUGUGACUUGGAUAGGAAUUCUCUAGUGUUUGUCUCAUUUGAUAUUUGUGCUUUCUGGACAGCUUUCCAGGCAUUGUGUUUUCUUUUUUGUGCUCCAAGGUUCUCAUUGUUAUUUGUAUCAUUCUUAUCUUCUUCCUCUGUGUUGGUUUGCUCUGUCUCAAGCACGCUAAAUCUAGUUUUGGAUGUUGUGUUGUGCUCUUUUUCUCUGUUUGGGUUGCUAGGGCCUGCUCCAUCUUUGGCUAUCUCUUUUCUAUUUCUUCUAUGCUUUUGGACCACCAUCCAUAGUCCAUAAUUAUCGCUAUUCACUUCUAGAAUGGCCUUUCCCUUGUUUUGACUUCUUUGAUCAUUUUUCUGAUUUUUCUCAUGAAGCAUCUCCUGGUUUCUGCUUUUUUCCUCUUCUUGUCUGCUAUUUUUUUGGUCAUCCUUUUGGUUUUUCUUAGUUUUUUCGAUUCUCUCUUUUCAAAUGGUGCAAUUCUUUUAUUCAUGGUCUGCUCUCCCACAUGUUGAACAGAUUUGAUAAAUUCCUUCAUACUCUACCCUGUACUCUUUGCCGUUUACCAUAUAUCUCCCCAUUAGUGGUUGAGUUAGGUCUACCUCAACACAUAGCCUAGCAAAUUUUUUUCUGCAUAGGUGAGAAGUGUUAUAGUCGAUUUUGCAUGUUUUUCCAACUAGAUCACCAAUUUUUCUUAGUAUUUUCUCACUGUACAGCUCUAUGAGGAGUCCUAGAAGUCUCACCCAUGCUGUGAUUUAUCGGUGGUGGUCAUGAGGGGGUUGAAAUUUGGCUUCCAUAAUCUCACAGCCAAGUAAUGAUCGUAUAUUUUCCAAAGUCCUUCCAAAAGGGCAUAAUCAAGAUCUUCCCGGGCAUAGAACUUAACCAGAUAAAAGUCAUUUCCCAAGUCAAUGACUCAAGUUUUCCUAGUCUUCCCUACAUAUUUUCUAUCAUGCUCUUCAUGGCUACAUAGCCAAUUUUCCUUUCCAUGAGUCUAACGAUAAGGGACCUCCGCCAUGGCUUCCAUAGCUCCUUUUUUGCCUCUUCAUUUAUGAUGAUAUUGUAGAGACCGUUCCCCAUAUCUUCUACUGUGAAUUCAGGUUUGUUGUUUCCAUUGCUAUUUUUUUUUUCUUUUGAUUCUCUGGAUUAUCAUUUUCAUUGUUGUUUUUUUAUUCAGGGAUUAUCUCCUCGUCACUCUCCAUUUCGUCAUUUUCAAACUCCAGGGGGUCAUCUUCCAAAUUUUGGUCCUUGCCCGCAACCAUUUCUACAUAUGACUUGCUUUGUGUUCCUUCCUUAACAUGCUCUAUCUAGUCUUCUAAUAUUGGAACCAGUACUCGCGGUGCAGAGAACUCUAUGUCUCUUUUCUCACUUUCUUCACACUUCGCUAUAGCAGAUCUCGCUCCUGUUCAGAUGGGUCUUCCAGUGGUCCCGGUCCGGUCAUGAGGCCGGCUAGGAAGAAGAGAUUUGACCGUUAGACAAGGCUAGAGAGAUGAUACAGAGAGAAAAAAGACCGUUGACUAAUAUUACAUCUACUAAAAAAUACUGUGCAGCAUAU